rnacentral:rRNA from 1 species
CCUACGGGUGGCAGCAGUGGGGAAUAUUGCACAAUGGGCGCAAGCCUGAUGCAGCCAUGCCGCGUGUGUGAAGAAGGCCUUCGGGUUGUAAAGCACUUUCAGCGGGGAGGAAGGCGGUGAGGUUAAUAACCUCAUCGAUUGACGUUACCCGCAGAAGAAGCACCGGCUAACUCCGUGCCAGCAGCCGCGGUAAUACGGAGGGUGCAAGCGUUAAUCGGAAUUACUGGGCGUAAAGCGCACGCAGGCGGUCUGUCAAGUCGGAUGUGAAAUCCCCGGGCUCAACCUGGGAACUGCAUUCGAAACUGGCAGGCUAGAGUCUUGUAGAGGGGGGUAGAAUUCCAGGUGUAGCGGUGAAAUGUGUAGAGAUCUGGAGGAAUACCGGUGGCGAAGGCGGCCCCCUGGACAAAGACUGACGCUCAGGUGCGAAAGCGUGGGGAGCAAACAGGAUUAGAUACCCGAGUAGUC